rnacentral:rRNA from 1 species
AUUGAACGUUGGCGGCAGGCCUAACACAUGCAAGUCGAGUGGAUGAAGGGAGCUUGCUCCUGGAUUCAGCGGCGGACGGGUGAGUAAUGCCUAGGAAUCUGCCUGGUAGUGGGGGAUAACGUCCGGAAACGGGCGCUAAUACCGCAUACGUCCUGAGGGAGAAAGUGGGGGAUCUUCGGACCUCACACUAUCAGAUGAGCCUAGGUCGGAUUAGCUAGUUGGUGGGGUAAAGGCCUACCAAGGCGACGAUCCGUAACUGGUCUGAGAGGAUGAUCAGUCACACUGGAACUAAGACACGGUCCAGACUCCUACGUGAGGCAGCAGUGGGGAAUAUUGGACAAUGGGCGAAAGCCUGAUCCAGCCAUGCCGCGUGUGGGAAGAAGGUCUUCGGAUUGUAAAGCACUUUAAGUUGGGAGGAAGGGCAGUAAGUUAAUACCUUGCUGUUUUGACGUUACCAACAGAAUAAGCACCGGCUAACUUCGUG